rnacentral:misc_RNA from 1 species
AACGCACGAGACCUGCGGACCUGCGGAAGGAUCAUUACCGAGUUUACAACUCCCAAACCCCAUGUGAACAUACCUGUUUCGUUCCCUCGGCGGUGUCCGGCAACGGCCCGCCAGAGGACCCAACAAACUCUUUUGAAUUUUUCAGUAUCUUCUGAGUGAAAAAAACAAUAAAUCAAAACUUUCAACAACGGAUCUCU